UGGGGAAUUUUGGACAAUGGGCGAAAGCCUGAUCCAGCAAUGCCGCGUGUGUGAAGAAGGCCUUCGGGUUGUAAAGCACUUUUGUCCGGAAAGAAAUCCUUGGCUCUAAUACAGCCGGGGGAUGACGGUACCGGAAGAAUAAGCACCGGCUAACUACGUGCCAGCAGCCGCGGUAAUACGUAGGGUGCAAGCGUUAAUCGGAAUUACUGGGCGUAAAGCGUGCGCAGGCGGUUUGCUAAGACCGAUGUGAAAUCCCCGGGGCUCAACCUGGGAACUGCAUUGGUGACUGGCAGGCUAGAGUAUGGCAGAGGGGGGUAGAAUUCCACGUGUAGCAGUGAAAUGCGUAGAGAUGUGGAGGAAUACCGAUGGCGAAGGCAGCCCCCUGGGCCAAUACUGACGCUCAUGCACGAAAGCGUGGGGAGCAAACAGGAUUAGAUACCCUGGUAGUCCACGCCCUAAACGAUGUCCAACUAGUUGUUGGGGAUUCAUUUCCUUAGUAACGUAGCUAA
rnacentral:rRNA from 1 species